UUAAAAUUCUAACCCAGCUAAGAAGCUACUAUAUGGAAAGUGCCCCAGUAAAGUGAACCUAGAUUUAUCUAUCGUGCAGGCAUGUUAUUGCACUGUCUGCCUUUUGAGUCUAUAAAAUUUUGCCUACUAGCUUAUGAACUAUUUUUAAAUAGUUGAUUGACAUUUGAAAUGUUAAUUAUCAAAAAUGCUGUACACUUUUUUUUACAGCCCUCUCACAAAAUGUAGAGCCCACGAUUAUUUUAAUUGUUGGCCCCACCCUUGAAUGUGAGAGGGCUUUCAACAGUGAUGUCAACAACACUGUAUUUGUAGCGUUCCUCGUUAAUUAAUUGGAAUGAUGCAAGUGUCAUUUAUGGUGUUGCCUAGAGAUGCAUUUUACAGAAUAGCUUCAACUUUUUGCAGUGCCUUUGGCUGUUUCAACCCUAUAUAUAUUCACCGGCCAUUCUUCACCUAAUUAUUCUUCUCUUCCUUCCAGUAUAGGAAAAUGGUACUUAUAGGUGCUCGGUACAACCAUGCUAAGGUUAAAAAUGGGUGGCAAAAUGUCCUCAUCGCACAUCGUCUCGUGUUGCCUAGCCCCUAUAGUUAUUGGGUAUUGGGGUCGAGACGAGGAGCAUGAUAUCGUAAUGAAGUCACUUUGGCUGUUAUUGGAAAUCAUGGUGGGUGGUAGAAGAUGAUUUGAUAGAGAAGUUGAUUGCGUUAAAACAGUCCAAUGAUAUAAUGUCAUGUGGUACUAUGUCAAACUUUAAAUCAAAGAACGUGGCAAUUUAGCAUGAUUGUAUUUAUUUUGUAGAAAUAAUGUGUGUACUUUUCAGAAAAGCUGGAAAAAAGACAACCUUUA